AUAGCUGGUUCUCCCCGAAAUAGCUUUAGGGCUAGCCUCAAGGUGAGAGAUACGGAGGUAGAGCACUGAAUGUCCUAGGGGGUAUUGCACCUACCGAAGACUAUUAAACUCCGAAUGCCGUCAUCUUAUACUUGGGAGUCAGACUGUGGGUGAUAAGAUUCAUAGUCGAAAGGGCAACAGCCCAGAUCGUCAGCUAAGGUCCCUAAAUGUAAGUUAAGUGGUAAAGGAUGUGGGAUUGCACAGACAACCAGGAUGUUGGCUUAGAAGCA
rnacentral:rRNA from 1 species